CGAUGAUGCAUAGCCCGAGUUGAGAGACUGAUCGGCCACAUUGGGACUGAGACACGGCCCAAACUCCUACGGGGAGGCAGCAGUAGGGAAUCUUCCACAUGGACGAAAGUCUGAUGGAGCAACGCUGCGUGAGUGAAGAAGGUUUUCGGAUCGUAAAAGCUCUGUUGUUGGUGAAGAAGGAUAGAGGUAGUAACUGGCCUUUAUUUGACGGUAAUCAACCAGAAAGUCACGGCUAACUACGUGCCAGCAGCCGCGGUAAU
rnacentral:rRNA from 1 species